AUGAUUAUGGGGCCAGAAUUUGUGAAGCAAAAGAAAUCGGAGCAGUUCAUUCAAAUAUCGAAAAAAAAUAAGGAAAAUGCGGCUAAGAAGGAGUACAAUCAUAUUAUGGGGCCAGGAGGGUAUCGCCUUUGGGAGCCUAGGUGGGAGAAGAUGGAGAACGAGCUGAGGGCGCGAGGAAUCCGUCCAGGUACGGAGGGAUGGGACCCAAGGGCCAAAAGCUGGUGGUACGGGCAUGGGGGAACGCUGAACCCGGAGACAGGGGAGUGUGUUUACCGGGGCAAAAUAAUUAAACCCACCCAAGCCCUUAUUGACGCAAUGAGGGAUGCUCAAGAGGGGAAGAUCAAGUUCAACAGAGAGAACGACGCGCUAACAAAAGCCCUCGGGAAUCCUGAACACGGAGGACGUGUACGAGGCAUGGGGGACAUUCCGUGGAAAAUAGGGUUCCCCCAGAACGAUGACCCGUACGGUUACAGAAGCCGGAAGAGAAAGAUGGAUCGGGAAGCAGAUAUUGCCUGCACUAUAUAUAUGUCCUAA
rnacentral:rRNA from 1 species